AUGUUUGAUACAAUGUACCGGACUAACCUUUACGACAUGCCCUUAAGACUUUUUGUUGGGGUUAACAACAAUUUUCAGAGUAUUAUACUGGCUGGUGUACUGGUAUGCGACGAGACUGAGGAAAGUUUUGAGUGUGUCUUUUCAGAUUUUCUACAGAUGAUGAGAGGCGUGGCGCCGAAGACAAUACUCAUUGACAAGAAUCGGACGAUGAAUUGCAUAAAAGAACAACAUGUUUGGACAUGGGUGAUGUCCAGGGAGCAACCUCGGAAGUCUGCGAGGUGUAAGAAUUGUGGGGUUGAGGGCCAUAGGAGAAACACCUGCACUAAGGCAAUGGAGAUGAGGUUAGCAAAUGUGGGAUGCUGGAGUGUAGUGCUAGGCCCGACGGACUGUUUUUUGUUAGUUGUAAACAUGUUAUGUUGUGUUGUGGAUUAUUUUAGAUUUUGUGUUGCACUCGUUGGUAGGCUGAACUGCAGUUAA
rnacentral:rRNA from 1 species